rnacentral:misc_RNA from 1 species
AAGUCGUAACAAGGUUUCCGUAGGUGAACCUGCGGAAGGAUCAUUAACACGUAUCCACGUUCAACCAACCGCGAAUUUGUUUUCACUCUCCCUUUGAGGUACAUGAAUUGGAACUAGAUAAAGUAAUGGAAUGGGACUUUCGGGUCAGCUUUAUUUAGCCACUGGAGUGAUUACGUCACUUCGACAAUUGUAGUGCUCUGAAGGCAAACCUUCUACUAAUUAUAUCUCCAUUCAUGAUAUAAUUGGUAGAGACAAUUAACCUAUUUCACCCCCUUUUUGCUAGUUGACUUUUAUAUGUUGUUUCUAUUACGAUUAAUUUCGUAUUGGUUACACACGUUUAAUUACUUGAACGUUAAAAUACAACUCUUAGCAAUGGAUAUCUUGGUUCUC